rnacentral:tRNA from 1 species
GCCCUGAUAGCUCAGAAGGUAGAGCGUCUCCAUGGUAAGGAGAAGGUCACGGGUUCGAUUCCCGUUCGGGGCU